AUUGAACGCUGGCGGCAGGCUUAACACAUGCAAGUCGAGCGAGCGGCGGACGGGUGAGUAAUGUCUGGGAAACUGCCUGAUGGAGGGGGAUAACUACUGGAAAGGGUAGCUAAUACCGCAUACCAUCAGAUGUGCCCAGGUGGGAUUAGCUAGUAGGUGGGGUAAAGGCUCACCUAGGCGACGAUCCCUAGCUGGUCUGAGAGGAUGACCAGCAACACGGGAACUGAGCAACGGCCCAGACUCCACCGGGAGGCAGAAGUGGGGAAUAUUGCACAAGGGGCGCAAGCCUGAUCCAGCCAUGCCGCGUGUGGGAAGAAGGCCUUCGGGUUGAAAAGCACUUUCAGCGGGGAGGCGUUACUCGCAGAAGAAGCACCGGCUAACUCCGUGCCAGCAGCCGCGGUAAUUC
rnacentral:rRNA from 1 species